CUAUGGCCAUACCACCCUGAAAGCAACUGAUCUCGUCUGAUCUCAGAAGCUAAGCAGGGUCGGUCCUGGUUAGUACUUGGAUGGAGACAAGUGUAGGACUUUCUCAUCCCCAUCAAUCCAGGUAGAUGGCAUAGC
ensembl:rRNA 5S_rRNA 5S ribosomal RNA